rnacentral:lncRNA from 1 species
CCGCACGCGCGGUCCGGGGCGCAGGUCUGGGAGAAGUCCUCGGCGACGAGGCGCCUCAGGGCCGUCAUGAACAACAGCUCGUCGUCGACGUCCUGCCCCGGUAUGGCGGCGCCGCCGCCUCCGUGGCCCUCCAUCGCGAUCCGAUCGAUCAGCUCGACCUACCUAGCUACUUCCUCGAUCGCUGAUCGAGGAAACCCGACCUGAUCUGAACGACUUCUCGAUC